CAGUUUCUGCCACAACAGCAAUUUUGCUUGGCUUGAUGGGUCUUCUUCUCAAGCACGACAGAAUGCCAAAGGUCUUGGUCAUUGCCUCCAUGAGGCCCAACACUUAAAAGGUGCUCGGCCACUUUGCCCUCAUGAGGCCCAAUGCUCAAAAGGAACUCAGUCACAGUAGUUUGAAGAACAAAAUACAAAGUUCCCUGUUAUUUGCCAACCCUGAUCCAUUAGUUUCUUUGAGACUUUACUGGAAUUCCACUGGAACUGAAAACAAGAGAUACGGUUCUUUUCUAUUGCAUCAAAGAUGUCCCUGGUUCAGCCCCAACCACCACAGCUACUACCAGUUGCCUAGCAAUUUUCCAUCACAUGACCUAGACAGACUAAACUAAGAAUGAGCGUUACUGGCAAUCAUCCUUCUUUAAAGGAUUGGCUGCUUCAUCGCUUCGAUCAACAUCCUCUGAAGAAUCAGAUUUGCUGAUGCAUUGAUGGUGGGACUGAUUAAUGCAGAUUGAGAUGUCACUAAUCAUUAACACAAAUAUUCAACAGUGUUAAAUAAUCUUUUCUUGGUGGUACUUACCUACAUACACACACACACACACAAAUAUACU